rnacentral:rRNA from 1 species
GGCUCAGAACGAACGCUGGCGGCGUGCCUAACACAUGCAAGUCGAACGCGAAAGUCCCUUCGGGGAUGAGUAGAGUGGCGUCCGGGUGAGUAACGCGUGGGUAAUCUACCUUCGGGUGGGGAAUAACCCAGGGAAACUUGGGCUAAUACCGCAUAAUGCAGCGGCUCGACAUCAAGACAGUUGUUAAAGCAGCAAUGCCCACAGAGAGGAGUCCGCGGCCGAUUAGCUAGUUGGCAGGGUAAGAGCCUACCAAGGCAUAGAUCGGUAGCCGGCCUGAGAGGGUUACACGGCCACACUGGCACUGAAACACGGGCCAGACUCCUACGGGAGGCAGCAGUGGG